ensembl:snoRNA SNORA70 Small nucleolar RNA SNORA70
UUGCAGCCAAUUAAGCCAACUUCACUCUUUGCUCUGUGGGUGCCCAGCGAGCAAUGGCUGCAAACAGCAGCCUCCUUGACAGCGUGUGCAGCCUGUGUCUAUGUGGGUUGUCCCAAGGAACUUGGAGACAGCC